CUCCUCCCAAAGUCCCCCACUCCACCCUGCCGAGGCUCGCGACGCCUCUGCAACUGCUACCGCAGCCCCACGCCCCAAACCCUAGCCCCCUCCACCGCCACCGCCAUGGCCGACUUAUCCGCUGCCGCCGUCACCGCCGUGGAGGUCGGGGAGCCCGAUUCGCUGCCCCCGCCGGUCGCAGAGGAGGCUGAUGCCGCCGCGGCGGAGGAGGCCGCGGCGGCCGCGAAGAAGUGGCCAGGUUGGCCCGGGGACAGCGUGUUCCGGCUCGUGGUUCCGGUGCUCAAGGUCGGGAGCAUCAUCGGGCGUAAGGGCGAGCUCAUCAAGCGCCUCGUCGAGGAGACUAAGGCCAGGGUCCGCAUCCUGGAGGGGCCCGUCGGAGCAACCGAGCGCAUUGUCCUGGUGUCUGGAAAAGAAGAUCCAAGCUUGGAGCUUCCUCCAGCUAUCGAGCUCUAGUGAGAGUUUUUAAACGUUUUUUAACGUGUCAUUGGAAUAGCAGAUGGAGCUGCUGAUGGCACUCAGGCAGCUGCUGCACCUGGUGUAUGUGCUGCCCGACUGCUGGUUCCUGGAGCUCAAGCUAUUAACCUAAUUGGGAAGCAAGGUGCCACAAUCAAGUCAAUUCAGGAGAGCACUGGUGCUACAAUCCGGGUUAUAUCAGUAGAUGAACGAGAGCGGCCAUUUUAUGUAACUGAUGAUGAAAGGAUAGUUGAGAUACAAGGUGAAACAAAGAAAGUUCUAAAAGCACUUCAAGCAGUUUCUAACCAUCUUCGGAAGUUUUUGGUUGACCAUAGUGUACUCCCAUUAUUUGAAAAGACUAAUACUACAGUGAGCCAAGAUCGCAGCGGUGAUGGUUGGAGUGAUAUGUCACAUCCUCCUAUUGGUUCUGCACAAGUAAAUCAACCACCUCCGGUAGUUGACGAAUAUAUUCUUCCAGCGAAGAGGGACACUUUGUAUCUUGAACGAGAACCUCUAGUAGAUCAUAGCAUUCAUCGCUCAGGAGUGUCACUUUAUGGGCGUGAUCCUGCCUUGUCAACAUUACGACCCUCUGGGAUGCAUGGUGCUGGGCCUCUACUUACACAGAUAACUCAAACCAUGCAAAUCCCACUUACCUAUGCAGAGGACAUUAUAGGAGUCAAAGGAGCAAAUAUUGCGUACAUACGAGCUAAUAGUGGGGCUGUUGUGACAAUUCAGGAGAGUUUGGGCAGCCCUGAUGAUAUUACUGUUGAAAUAAAGGGGACGUCUUCACAAGUACAAGCUGCCCAACAGCUCAUCCAGGACUCCUUAGCUGCACACCGAGAACCUGUCAGAAGCAGCUAUGUGGGAGCAGGAUUAGAUCCAGUGUACAGGCCCAGCUACUCACAAUAUGGCAGCUCCACUUAUUCGUCGUCAUCACUGCCAUCUUAUUCUAGCAUUGAUGAUGGUAGAUAUCCAUCUUCAGGCAUGGGUGGCUAUGGGUCAAGUUACCGGUACUAGUAGCAGUUCAUCGUUAGGAAUGCAUCCUGUAUUUGUUCCUGAAUGAUCAGUACAAGUUGGCAAGUUUCCUGCUGACCCUGUGCUUCCGGGUGGGAAUCCGGUAGAUCGUAUUGUAUCUCUGUACGCAUUUCAGGGUAUGCUAUGCUCUGUUAGAGUGACAAACAGACAGUAGGUUCUCGUCGAUGGAAUUGAAAUCUGUACUGGCUUCCCGUGGUUUAACGGUGCCUGUUUUUGGUGAACUGCAAUGAGAUGACCACAUUUUGUGCAA